GGGAGGACCCCCAGACAAUUACAGAGGAAAUCAACAUUGCAGAAUGUUGAACUAUGGAGGUAGAGGCCGCUGGGAUGACGAUACCUACUCUAAGAAAUUUACCUUCAUCUGCGAAGUUUCAGGUUACUGAUACGGAAUAGAGGGAUGACUUGCAGCCAUUUAGCAAUGUCUGUGCAUAAUAAAAUGAUCAUUGUAAUAUG